rnacentral:rRNA from 1 species
CACGCCGUAAACGAUGAUAACUAGCUGUUCGGGCUCUACGAGCUUGAGUGGCGCAGCUAACGCAUUAAGUUAUCCGCCUGGGGAGUACGGUCGCAAGAUUAAAACUCAAAGGAAUUGACG